AGUUCAUCAAAUGACCAUGAAGAUAAUAGCUGGAAUAUUAAGAAUAGAUGCAAGUCCAGGAGGAAAUGGCCGGGAUUUCUUUUUCUGAACAUUCGAAGCUUAGUUGCAUUGAUGUAAAAGAUCAGCAAUUGUUUGAAGCAAAAGGAUCAUGGGAAAACAUAUAAUAAGAAGAGUGAAAUGAGACUUUUUGUUCUGACAAUGAAGAUGAUUG